rnacentral:rRNA from 1 species
GACGAACGCUGGCGGCGUGCUUAACACAUGCAAGUCGAACGACGUGGCGCACGGGUGAGUAACGCGUAAUCAACCUGCCCUUCAGAGGGGGACAACAGUUGGAAACGACUGCUAAUACCGCAUACUGAAGGAGGGGAUUGCGUUUGAUUAGCUAGUUGGAGGGGUAACGGCCCACCAAGGCGAUGAUCAGUAGCCGGUCUGGAAGGAGGGACGGCAAAAAUGGGACGGAGGAACGGCACAGAUUGCUACCGGAGGCAGCAGUGGGGAAUCUUCCGAAAUGGGCGAAAGUCUGACGGAGGAAAUGCGCGUGAGUGAUAGCGGCCUUCGGGUUGUAAAGCUCUGUUAAUCGGGGCGCGGUACCGGAAGAGAAAGCCACGGCUAACUACGUGCCAGCAGCCGCGGUAAUUC